GUUGUAUGGUUAAGUGACUAAGCGUACACGGUGGAUGCCUUGGCAGUCAGAGGCGAUGAAAGACGUAGUAACUUGCGAUAAGCCCAGAUUAGGUAGUAACAACCAUUUGAGU
rnacentral:rRNA from 2 species